GAUGUGGAUGAAUCUGUCAUGAGGGAUUUUUGCCACAUUCUCUAGUGCGCACGUGAAAGGGAAUUACUGACAAAGGAUGUUAAUCCUGAACACACAACGACAAUGACUGCCCGUGCUGUAAUCUACCCGAAUGGCUGGAGAUCUUUGUGCGUGUGCAGACCAGACAAUCUAUUCUGCAGAGCAGGCUGGAAGCUGUACGUCCAGGAUGUACUGCUAAGGGCUUGGUGGAAGUCAGUGCAAGAGAAAGAAAAAAACAUGUCCUGAAUCCAGAGGCGCCAAUUUUCGUGAGUGCACUCAGCGAGACAGAUGGACAUCCAGUGGACCUUUAUCCAGUGUCAAACUUGAAUCCAUGGGCACCAGUUUUCCACGGGUAAAUGGUGGCCUCUGUCAGUGUAAAAUGGAUUUUGGAUUCUCCACCCACACUGAAGCAGAGAGGAUGUGGAUGAAUCUCUGUCAUGAGGGAUUUUUGCCACAUUCUCUAGUGCGCAUGUGAAAGGAAAGUACUGACGAAGGAUGUUCAUCCUGAACA